rnacentral:rRNA from 1 species
UACGUAGGGUGCGAGCGUUAAUCGGAAUUACUGGGCGUAAAGCGUGCGCAGGCGGUUUUGUAAGCCAGAUGGGAAAGCCCCGGGCUCAACCUGGGAAUGGCAUUUGGGACUGCAAGGCUGGAGUAUGGCAGAGGAGACUAGAAUUCCCGGUGUAGCAGUGAAAUGCGUAGAUAUCAGGAGGAAUACCGAUGGCGAAGGCAGGUCUCUGGGCCAAUACUGACGCUCAUGCACGAAAGCGUGGGGAGCAAACAGG